rnacentral:rRNA from 1 species
UACGUAGGGUGCAAGCGUUGUCCGGAAUUAUUGGGCGUAAAGAGCUCGUAGGCGGUUUGUCACGUCGGGAGUGAAAACUCGGGGCUUAACCCCGAGCCUGCUUCCGAUACGGGCUGACUAGAGGUAUGCAGGGGAGAACGGAAUUCCUGGUGUAGCGGUGAAAUGCGCAGAUAUCAGGAGGAACACCGGUGGCGAAGGCGGGUCUCUGGGCCGACACUGACGCUGAGGAGCGAAAGCGUGGGGAGCAAACAGG